AGGUUAAUAUCAAAUACCGGUAUUAAGCAUUUGCCUGCUGUUUAUAAGAUUCAAUCUCUCCAAAAGGUUUUGCUAGACAUUCAAGAUAACAUCAAUAUCCGAACAAUUGAAAGAAAUUCUUUUGCAGGACUAAGUUCUGAAAGUGUGAUCCUAUGGCUGAAUAAGAAUGGGAUCCAAGAGAUACGGAACCAGGCAUUCAAUGGAACCCAACUGGAUGAGCUGAACCUUAGUGACAAUAUUAACCUGGAAGACUUACCUAAUGACAUUUUCCAAGGAGCCAAUGGACCAGUCAUUCUG